rnacentral:rRNA from 1 species
UACGUAGGGUGCAAGCGUUGCCCGGAUUUAUUGGGCGUAAAGCGCUCGCAGGUGGUCCGAUACGUCGUGCGUGAAGGCCCCCGGCUCAACUGGGGAAUGUCGUGCGAUACGGUCGGACUGGAGGCCAGUAGGGGGAUGCGGAAUUCCGGGUGUAGUGGUGGAAUGCGUAGAGAUCCGGAGGAACACCAGCGGCGAAGGCGGCAUCCUG